UAAAACUUGCCGAUGAAUACCGCACACACAAGUUGCAUGUCUUCCUCCUCCAGCGGGAACGAAGCAGCGCAAUUAGAAGAUUACUCGAGAUAGAAUGUUUUGUUUUGGAAAUCAUCGAGCAAGAUGCUUAUGUCCCGAAAAAUGUCCCGAAAGAUGUCGAGGACUGGGUAUCUGAUAUUAAGGCAAAGAAAGGUUACAAGUAUACCUUCAUCAUAUGCUGAUCAAUUCAGUGAUAAAGAAGCAGAUGCCAUUCGCAUGUUAUCAGAGAACGGAGUGGCGACUCCAAAGCUGAAGAAAGAAAAGGCGAAUAAGGAAAAGAUACCUACGGUGGCAAUUCGCAAUUUCACUAAGUAUCAAAAAAUGGACAAUAAUGGGAAAGACAACUGCUUUAAAAAAAAAGUGGAAGAAGCAUAGGAGAUUGGACGGAAAACUGGAGCAGGAGUGUAAGUUGUGGGAAAUGGCUAUGCUCAUAAAUAGGCAUUGUGGUCUAUCGUACACACUAACGGCUCAAGCUUUGGUUUCUAUAUUGAGGGACACCAUGAAGGAGUUUGGAGGAAAAGAUGUUGCAGGAGUGUGAGCUGGGAAACGGCUUUGCUAAUAAAUAGUUAGUAUUGUGGUCUUUCAUACACACUAAAGGGGCAAGCUAUCGUUUCUCUAUUGAGUGACACCAUUGGAUCACCUGUGCUUUGAUGGAUACUUUUUCACUUAAAGCUUCAUUUAUGGCUUGUUUGAUGGGUACUUUUUCACUUAGAUCUUUAUUUAUGGCUUGAUGGGUACUUGUUCAAUGAAACUACAUUCUUGAUUGUGCCAUAAAAAAAUAAUAAUAAGCCAUCAAGACAAGUCCCUAGUUUAAACUCGAAUAGGUUUAUCUAGGUUUAAGUUUUCUGUUGCUCAUGUCGAUCCAUUUGACCCAAAAUAUGAAUGACGAUGAAGAAGAUGGUCCAGAGUUGAUUCCACUGAUGCUAAUUUCAUGCUUUGCCUUCUUCUUUGAUGAGGUAACUUCUUAUGAGUUCUCUUUUUCUUCUGAGAGAAUUGAUAGUUAUCCUGUGAUAUGAAAUUGGGGGGAAGAUUACGGCAAAAGUUAGGGAUUUUGUAAAAGUUAGAUCUCUAGACCUAAAUGUUAGUCAGUAUUGAUUGAAUUUAGAACUGGGUUUUGAUUUUUGGUGCUUUUAUCGUAAAAUUGGCUUCUUAUUUGUUAGGGAUUAAAUUUGUGAUUGUACUGAAUUGGAGCUGAAAUUGCUUUACUUAUGUAGAUACAGGGGAGUAUGUUGUUCGAGAAGAAUAACUUGAGUAUGGAAUUUACUUCACUUGUCUUUGGUGCAUUAAAAUUUAGAUGGUUUAGUUCGAUUCAAAUGAUUUUUUUCUUUAAGCAAACGGAAUACUAGGACGGGAAGGGUUGGAAAAUGUAAAUGGCUAGAUCUUAACUCGAACCUUGAGAAAGUUUGUAAGGUUGCACUGAAUUUUGUUAUCUAUCUUGAACUGUCUUUGCAAGAACGAUACUAAGCCAGUGAAACUUGAGACAAAUCACCCUGAUGUCCAGUCGAUGAGCCCUGCUUGAUUUGAAGCUGAUGCUUACUCAACCUGCAGCUGACUCUUUAUGUUGGCCAUCACAUGGGCCUGCAAUGCAAUACAUGUGCAUAAGCUCUGGAAAACCAUUCGUUAAUGCAUAUUUUCAGUAUACUACAAGGAAUGCACAAGUCUUUUGCGUCUGCUUGUUUCAGAAGGAAGCUGAAUUGUGGCUCUCUAUGAUUGAUAGCUACAAGUUGUUGAAAGAAGGAUUUGUCUAAGGAUGAAAUUUUUCUCGCGUCCGCGCUUGGCUGAUGCAUUGAACGGCUGCAGGCAUAUUUUCUUGUUCUAGAUGAUAUGAUGGACAAUACUUACACAUGGCGAGGUCAACCUUGUUGGUUCAGAGUAGAGAAGGUGCUGAUCCUGUAUUGAGAAUCUUCCAUUGUGUAUUUAUUACUUAUUAGUUAUUAGCAUCCUUAUUAGGUUGGUUCGAGUGUGGCAAAUGACGAAGUUGUACUUCGUAAUCAUAUUUCCAGGAUUCUUAAAAAGCACUUCAGAUGUUCGUAUAUGGUUAUCUAAAUCUUGAAUGAACUGAUACUGUGUUAUCUAAUUUUUAAAUGAACUGAUACUGUUACGUUGCUAAGGUUUUGGUUCUGUA